GUUUCCUUAUGCCUUUCCUUUGGGAAAUUUUGUGUGGGCUUCAGUGGAGAAUAAGGAUGUACAAAGUGGCAGUUUCUUUAAACAAAAUAAUUCUUUGGAAAAAAAAAGUCCCCCCACCUCAUGAAACUAUAUAAUAUAACUCUGCCUACUCCAACAAAAGAAUCUGUAUUGUGCCCCCCCACAGUUACACCAAGAAUAGAGGACAGGACACACCUGGUCUCAGGGAUAAAGGCACAUUAUGGAAAGAAACAAUGGGCUCACAUUCAGAUAGGCAUUUAUGUACUUUGCUGAAUGCACUGCUUUUUUCCUCAGUAAUAACGCUGUGAUAUGGUUGAUGGCCUGGUUCAUCCCAAAAUAAUUAAGUCUGCAUUCAUUCUUGCUUAUGGCUAAACUAUUGCAAAGCUAUAGAGUACAAAAGGUGUAGUGUUUUAAAAUAAACCAGCCACUAUACUACUUCACUCUCAGAUAUUGUCAGUUUCCUUCCAUUAAUGACUCUACACCUCCUCUUUGGUGUAGUGAUGAGGCGAGCAGGCCUGCUUUUCAUCCCGCCCAGCUCCCGCACAGCUAGCUUUACACCCAAAAUAACAACCCACAAAUUGUAUUCAAUUAAACACUGCCUGGCCCAUUAGUUUCAGCCUCUUAUUGGCUAAUUUUCACAUAUUCCUUUAACCCAUAUUUAGUAAUCUGUGUAGCACCACGAGGUGGUGACUUACCAGGAAGAUUCUAACCUGCAUCCAUCUCAGAGAGGAGAGCUAUGGUGUCUGCCUCACUGCUUUCUUCCUCCUAGCAUUCUGUCUGUCUUUCCCUGCCUACCUAUGUUCUGACCUAUCAGGCCAAGCAGUUUUUUUUAUUAAUUAACCAAUGAAAGCAACAGAUAGAUAGAAGACCCACCUACAUCACUUUGGGAUGAGAAUUCCACUGCAGCUGGACUCUGGCAAGUACAUUUUGUAGAAAACAGUUCAAUUUCUAGCCCCACAUGGCAACUCACAUCUGGAACUUCAAUGUUUCAUGGAAUCCAAGCACCUCUUCUUGCUGAAUAGGCAGUGCCCUUGUGUGUGAACAAACAUGUAGAUAGAUCCCAAGGGUCAUGGGGAAAUAUACCUUAAGGCAAGCCUAGUGGCCAUUCACAUGGAAAAACUCUUUCUUGUCCUCUCAUACCUGGAUCCCAAGUCCACCAGCUGCCUUUGUAUUUGGGUUAUGUGAUCCAGCAGGAUGUGCAGACCAUAUGCUCCUGCCCUUGCUGCUGCAUCCCAGGUGGAGCAAGGUAUGAUUAAGGCACCCACCACCUCCCAAAUAGAUGAGCAUCUUUGAGCAUAUUUGUGUAAUUAUGUACUUGUAAAGACAUUUUAGCACAUUUUAUUUCUUUUAUGUAUAUCUGCAGGUGAGUACACAGACACCACUGUGCAUAUGUGACAUACAGAGGAUUGAGAAUUGGAUCAGUCAUGUGGGAGCAAAUUUAAGUACUCCCAGCUGAUUCCUGUUGGAGUGGGCUCGACAGAGUGGCACCAAGCAUGGGGCUGGGCAUGGGGCAUAAACGUGAUGGUCACUGCGGGAUGAAAGAGUACACUCAAUAAAAGGGAGAUCUGUGGGCCAUGAGAACAACAUCCUGAGGUCAGCAGGAAGUAAUUGCAGAAAUGAAUACAUCAUCCCAGUUUCCUCCCAGAAAUGUUAGGUAAAAGGGGAAUUUCUCUCUCUCUCUCUCUGCCAUCAAAGGGAUUUUGGUCAGUGAUGCCUUGAAUAAAUGAUAAUUACUGUCUGAGUACCAUUAAGCUAAUGAUGCAAACACCCUGAUAUCAACCUGGAACAAACUCAUCUUAAGGAUAUGAGAUGAUGUUCUUUGCAGGGUCAAGGAAUUUUGAAAGAGCACAUGGGAGUUGUAAGACUCCAUUAAAAAUAAAAUUAAAAGGUGGAGUUAGGGUUAUAACCAUACAUGUCUUAUUUAAAAUUUUAUUAUUUUUAAAAUGUGAAUAGAUUUUGGCAUGAAAAAAACCACCACAUAAUUUGUUCAGGUCUAAUGGAAAAAUCCAUCCACUGGUUUAUGCCCCAACACUGUUUGGGUAUGGAGAGAGGGCAUGUUUGUGAAAUUGAAAUUGAAGCUCAAUUGGUACAGAAGGAUGUCCCACACUGUUUCCCCUUUUAUGUCUAAAUGAAAAGGAAUGUUUUAACUUCAACGCAAUAAAAUUACAUAUAACAAAACUUGCCUAUAGGUAAGAUGGUCCUUCGGGUCUCUGCUUCAUGAAAGAGUCUGCCAGAUAUUCUGCAGGAUACAGAAGAAAGUGACUGAUAAAUUGCUGAUGUAGGCAGAAAUGUCUUUGAAUUUCCUGCUUCAUGGAAAAGUCUGCUGGAUACUAUGGGCCUGUAGGCUGAAGAUGGAUGCCAAUGUUACAGAAAAACUGUGGGUGACUGUCCAGGUAGUGAGAUGUCUCUGUCAAUUCUAAAGUUCUGGAAGCUGCUUACAAUGCACAUCCUGUUUACUUAGGUAAUAUUAUAUCCUUCUGGGGUCUUUGGUGAAGAAUAGAGAGUUACAGUUUUCCUCAGUUAUAAUAAAAGAUAAAGUAAAUAUAAAUAUUAUAACUGUAAUUCUUGCUUGAUACCUGUUUAGUUUUACUAUGUUAAAGUUAAAACCUUCCUUUUCAUUUAGACAGAAAAGGGGAAGUGGUGUGGGAAGUCCUUCUGUAUAUGUGUUGCUUUUAUUGGUUAAUGAAUAAAGAAGCUGCUUUGGCCUGUGAUAGGGAAGAGUAGAGGCAGGUGAGAAAACUAAACAAAAUGCUGGGAGAAAGAAGGCAGACUCAAUGGGAAGCCAUGUAGCCACCAGAAAAGGCAGAUACUGGAACUUUGCCCCGUAAGCCACAGCCACAUGGCAAGACACAGACUAACAGAAAUGGGUUAAUUUAGGAUUUGAGUUAGCUAGCAAUACACUUAAGCUAUUGGCCAAGCAGUGAUUUAAAUAAUAUAGUUUCUGUGUAAUUAUUUUGGGUCUAAGCAGCCUGGAAAUGAACAAGCAGGUUCCUCCAGCACACAUGGACCAGUAACAACUUUUUCCAUGAAGGCAUAUAAAGUAUAAUUUAAUUGAAUAAAAACAACAAAUGGUAAUGACUAAAAAGAAUUAAACUCACUGACUGCUAUAUUGUAAGGAACAAGAAAACACUUUCAAAGAACAAUUCUGUGUUUUGCAGAAACUUACAUCACAAUAGCCUUGUCCUGUUUCUUUGAAGUAUAAACACAAAUACUCAAAAUUCUCACAUAACUUCAACCAGGACAGUGUUCCAAUAAUACACUUGAACAAACGCAAUUUUAAGAAAAAAAAUAACACAUACACAAAUAAAGCUUUUUAAAAUAUGGAGUCUCUCUCCUGUCACACACACACAUAUAUAAAUAUAUGCAUAUACAUAUACAUGUGUGUAUAUGUAUGUUAAGUAUAUGUAUGUAUAUAUCCACCUUUAUAACAUUAACAUGCCGGUUCCCGAGGAAGGCAAAGAAGUGCAUUACACCUGGACCAGGAUUUACAGAUACUUCUGAGCCACCUCAUGUGGGUGCUAGGAACCAAACUUGAAUGCCCUACAGAUGCAAUGCUACUGAGUCAAUUCUGCAGCUCCAAAAGAUAUCAUUAUAAUACAUAUAAUGAAUAUUCUCCUUUAUUCCAUCCUCAUCAUUUGGAGGUGAUGAAAGUCCUUGCUACUUGUUCAGUGACAAAUUGAAUGAAUUUAAUCCCUUUGUGAAUAGACUCUGCACAUUGCUUAUUUUAGUUGUUUAUGUAAUUCUCUUGAUGUGAAUGAUCCCAACAAAUGAUUUAGAUGAUUGAAAAUGAGCCCAUAUUAUGCAACAAAAAGUUCCACAAUGUGAUACAUACAUUUAAAAAUGAUUAUUUUUCUUUUACAUGAAAAGGUGUUUUGCCUGCAUGUAUACCUGCAUAAGUGUGUUGGAUCCCCUAGAACUACACUUCCAGAGUUUUGAGCUUCUAUGUUGGUGCUUGGGAUUGAACCCAGGUCCUCAGGAAAUGUAACCAUCUUUCCAGAUCCCUUUUUUGGAUAUUUUGAGAAAG